rnacentral:lncRNA from 1 species
AAGGCGAGCUCCACGCCCCAGAAGCAACCCGCGCCGAACUGAGCGAACUGCUGCCCCGGAGCUGGGAGGUCGUCGUCGGGUCCCUGGGCGAUAGCGGAGGAGUGGGGGUCCAGGGAGGGCUCCGGUGGAGUGCGAGCGCCGAACCCGAGCUUUCCCAGCCAACUCAUGGAAGUUAAGAGGGAAGAGGGCUUAGGGUUUUUAGAGGGAGAAAGAAAGAAUUUUUUGGGGAGAGAAAUUGAAGGUCUGGAGAAGCAGGAGAGAAGAGGAGUUGCCUUGGUGCUGGUGGACGACGAUGCUAAGGCGUUGAACAUCCUUUUGCGUGACGUGUCAGAUUUUU